rnacentral:rRNA from 1 species
AACGAACGCUGGCGGCAUGCCUAACACAUGCAAGUCGAACGAGACCUUCGGGUCUAGUGGCGCACGGGUGCGUACCGCGUGGGAACCUGCCCUUAGGUUCGGAAUACCUCCCCGAAAGGGGUGCUAAUACCGGAUAAUGUCUUCGAACCAAAGAUCUAUCGCUUCUGGAUGGGCCCGCGUUGGAUUAGCUGGUUGGUAGGGUAAUAGCCUACCAAGGCGACGAUCCAUAGCUGGUCUGAGAGGAUGAUCAGCCACACUGGGACUGAGAGACGGCACAGACUCGUACGGGAGGCAGCGGUAGGAAAGAUUAGACGACGGGCGAAAGACUGAGCCAGCAAUGCCGCGUGAGUGAUGAAGGCCUUAGGGUUGUAGAGCUCCUUUACCCGGGAUGAUAAUGACAGUACCGGGAUAAUAAGCUACGGCUAACUCCGUG